rnacentral:sRNA from 1 species
ACAAAAAUGCUGCCUUCCUCCAGGCUGACCAGCCUUUCAAAUUGUUAAGUAUAGAGUGGGCCUUUGUGCAGUCAGGAGUCUUUGUGCAGCACACAAACUGCAUAGCUGUACAGAAUGGCCCUGCCCCUACCCUGGGAAGAGGAAACCUACAUGCACACUGGAAACAGUUCAACCCCUCGUGGGGAAAGAGGAAGCUGUUACCAUUUUGCAAUGAGUGGGAAAUCAUACCAAGUGAUAUUUCAGCAUUUCAACAGCUUGCUUCCAAAAAUUCUGGUGAAUGGAACAGUUUUUGCAAGAAUGUCUCCUGGGCAGAAAUCAAGCCUUAUUGAAGAAUUUCAGAAAUUAAAUUAUUAUGUGGGCAUGUGUGGAGAUGGAGCUAACGAUUGUGGGGCUUUGAAAGUGGCUCAUGCAGGCAUUUCAUUGUCAGAGCAGGAAGCAUCUGUGGCAUCCCCUUUUACCUCUAAAACAACCAGCAUCCAGUGUGUGCCUCAUCUCAUCAGAGAAGGCCGAGCUGCUCUGGUUUCAUCCUUUGGAGUAUUUAAAUACUUGACCAUGUAUGGCAUAAUCCAGUUUAUCAGUGCAUUACUGCUCUAUUGGCAACUACAACUCUUUGGAAAUUACCAGUAUCUCAUGCAAGAUGUAGCCAUUACUUUGAUGGUCUGUUUAACAAUGAGUUCAACUCAUGCCUACCCAAAGCUGGCUCCAUAUAGACCAGCAGGACAGCUCCUUUCUCCCCCUUUACUGCUCUCAAUAUUUUUGAAUUCCUGUUUCUCCUGCAUUGUGCAGAUCAGUGCAUUUCUCUGUGUGAAGCAGCAGCCUUGGUAUUGUGAGGUCUACCAAUACAGUGAGUGUUUUCUGGCCAACCAAAGUAAUUUUUCAACAAAUGGGAGUUUGGAAAGAAACUGGACUGGAAAUGCAACUCUGAUUCCUGGUUCAAGUUUAAGUUUUGAGACCACCACACUGUGGCCCAUCACCACCAUCAACUAUAUCACAGUAGCAUUCAUCUUUUCUAAGGGAAAGCCAUUUCGAAAACCCAUCUAUACAAACUAUAUAUUUUCAUUUCUGCUGCUAGCUGCCUUGGGCCUCACAAUUUUCAUUCUGUUUUCUGACUUUCAAGUUAUAUACCGUGGAAUGGAGUUGAUCCCAACCAUAACAUCGUGGAGGGUUUUAAUUUUGGUGGUAGCCCUUACCCAAUUCUGUGUGGCUUUCUUUGUAGAGGAUGCCAUCCUUCAAAAUCAUGAGCUCUGGCUGUUGAUCAAAAGAGAAUUUGGAUUCUACUCUAAAAGUCAAUAUAGGACUUGGCAAAAGAAGCUGGCAGAAGACUCAACCUGGCCUCCCAUAAACAGGACAGAUUAUUCAGGUGAUGGCAAAAAUGGAUUCUACAUCAACGGAGGCUAUGAAAGCCAUGAACAGAUUCCAAAAAGAAAACUCAAAUUGGGAGGCCAACCCACAGAACAGCAUUUUUGGGCCAGGCUGUAAUCAGAAUUGUCGUACAUGCUGAACAGCAUUGCUUUUUUCCCCAAAAUUAACACAUUGUGGAGAAGUGAUGAUACUCUCCCCUUACCUUUCCUCUCUCCAUUCAAGCACUCAAAGUAUAUUUUCAAUGAAUUAAACCUUGCAGCAAAGGAC